AGAAAGUGCUACACAAACUGAUAUGGAAUCAGUCCCAAAAGCAUGGGGUGAAGUGAAAAGAUUGAAAGUGGACAUCACUCUGGAGCCAAAACCUUCUGACCCGGAUCUGGUUGUGUCUCCAGAUAGGAAGAAGAUCCGUUGUAAGAAAUCAAAAGUAGCUGAUGUGUCCACAGCUCCUUAUGUCAUUAGUGAGGACAAAUUCAACUGUGGACAGUUAUACUGGGAUGUGAGGUUGAGGGAAGAUAAUAUUUUUAACAAAGAGAAACAGUCAUGGUAUGUUGGUGUAGCCACAUACGAAGCCACUCAGUCAAGGGCUGUUGUCCCCUUAACCCCUGAGAAGGGUUUCUGGGUUGUUACAUAUGAAGAAGGAAAAGGUUAUUAUGUCCCUGCUGACCCUCAAAUGCCAGUAUCUGGAAAUGAAAGUCCUUUCAUAUUCAUAGACCUAAAAUAAUCUGGAGAAAAAAUUCUUACAACACUGGGAGUGUUCUUAGAUUGUGACCGACAGAUGCUUUCCUUUUAUGAUGCUGAAUCAAAGGCACAUCUGUACAGUUUCUUUAACGUUGUGUCAUCUAAAGGAUUCUUCGCUGUAUUCAGCCCUGGGUUACGUGACACCUAUCCCUUAACAAUUAAAUGACUCUAGAUGAGAAAGGUUAAGACAUGCCACAAUAAUGGAUUUUGUUUUAGACGCACAGAGUUGAUAUAAAAGCCUAUUAUAACACUCUUAGACACUCUCAGAUAAUACAAAGACAUACAUUUUAUACUUGAAAUGUAGGUUGAACUUGAAAUGUUAUUCAGUUUCAAAAUGGCAUGAAUAUUGAAUGUUUUUCUUUCCUUCUUUAA